CAGGUGUAGUUCAAUGGUAGAAUUCCAGCCUUCCAAGCUGGUUAUACGGGUUCGAUUCCCGUUACCUG
rnacentral:tRNA from 1 species